CAGACUCCUACGGGGGCAGCAGUGGGAAUAUUGGACAAGUGGCGCAAGCCUGAGUCCAGCAAUGCGCGUGUGUGAAGAAGGCCUUCGGGUUGUAAACGCGACUUUUAAUCAGGUAGCGAAAGUACUACCGGUUAAUAACCGGUGGGCUGACGUACUGAGGAAUAAGCACCGGCUAACUUCGUGCCAGCAGCCGCGGUAAUAC
rnacentral:rRNA from 1 species